rnacentral:rRNA from 1 species
CCUACGGGUGGCAGCAGUGGGGAAUAUUGCACAAUGGGGGAAACCCUGAUGCAGCGACGCCGCGUGAAGGAAGAAGUAUUUCGGUAUGUAAACUUCUAUCAGCAGGGAAGAAAAUGACGGUACCUGACUAAGAAGCCCCGGCUAACUACGUGCCAGAAGCCGUGGUAAUACGUAGGGGGCAAGCGUUAUCCGGAUUUAAUGGGUGUAAAGGGUGCGGAGGCGGGGAUGCAAGUCAGAAGUGAAAGUCCGGGGCUCAAACCCGGGACUGCUUUUGAAACUGUGUUGCUAGAGUGCAGGAGAGGUAAGUGGAAGUCCUAGGGGAGCGGUGAAAGGCGUAGAUAUUAGGAGGAACACCAGUGGCGAAGGCGGCUUACUGGACUGUAAAUGACGCUGAGGCUCGAAAGCGUGGGGAGCAAACAGGAUUAGAUACCCUAGUAGUC